UACGAAGGGGGCUAGCGUUGUUCGGAAUUACUGGGCGUAAAGCGCGUGUAGGCGGGUCUUUAAGUCAGGGGUGAAAUGCCAAGGCUCAACCUUGAAACUGCCUUUGAUACUGGAGACCUUGAGUCCGGGAGAGGUGAGUGGAAUUGCGAGUGUAGAGGUGAAAUUCGUAGAUAUUCGCAAGAACACCAGUGGCGAAGGCGGCUCACUGGCCCGGAACUGACGCUGAGACGCGAAAGCCAGGGGAGCAAACGGG
rnacentral:rRNA from 1 species